rnacentral:rRNA from 1 species
AGGUUACUGCUAUCGGUGUUCGCCUAAGCCAUGCGAGUCAUAUGUUCUUCGUGAACAUGGCGUACUGCUCAGUAACACGUGGAUAACCUGCCCUUGGGUCCGGCAUAACCCCGGGAAACUGGGGAUAAUUCCGGAUAACGCACAUAUGCUGGAAUGCUUUAUGCGUCAAAUGGAUUCGUCCGCCCAAGGAUGGGUCUGCGGCCUAUCAGGUAGUAGUGGGUGUAAUGUACCUACUAGCCUACGACGCGUACGGGUUGUGAGAGCAAGAGCCCGGAGAUGGAUUCUGAGACAUGAAUCCAGGCCCUACGGGGCGCAGCAGGCGCGAAAACUUUACAAUGCGGGAAACCGUGAUAAGGGGACACCGAGUGCCAGCAUCAUAUGCUGGCUGUCCGGGUGUGUAAAAUACACCUGUUAGUAAGGGCCGGGCAAGACCGGUGCCAGCCGCCGCGGUAACACCGGCGGCCCGAGUGGUGAUCGUGAUUAUUGGGUCUAAAGGGUCCGUAGCCGGUUUGGUCAGUCCUCCGGGAAAUCUGACGGCUUAACCGUUAGGCUUUCGGGGGAUACUGUCAGACUUGGAACCGGGAGAGGUAAGAGGUACUACAGGGGUAGGAGUGAAAUCUUGUAAUCCCUGUGGGACCACCUGUGGCGAAGGCGUCUUACCAGAACGGGUUCGACGGUGAGGGACGAAAGCGGGGGGCACGAACCGGAUUAGAUACCCGGGUAGUCCCAGCCGUAAACGAUGCUCGCUAGGUGUCAGGCAUGGCGCGACCGUGUCUGGUGCCGCAGGGAAGCCGUGAAGCGAGCCACCUGGGAAGUACGGCCGCAAGGCUGAAACUUAA